rnacentral:lncRNA from 1 species
UUUUACCAGAGUAAAAUAAACUCAAUAAACUCACAGAGUUACCCUCCUCUGGAGCCUCAGGAAGACCUCCAGACUGUUGGCCACCAACUGCACCAUUCAGUCCAAUUAGGGGACUCAUCUCGGACUCAGACUCACAGAGUUACCCUCCUCUGGAGCCUCAGGAAGACCUCCAGACUGUUGGCCACCAACUGCACCAUUCAGUCCGAUUAGGGGACUCAUCUCGGACACAGACUCACAGAGUUACCCUCCUCUGGAGCCUCAGGAAGACCUCCAGACUGUUGGCCACCAACUGCACCAUUCAGUCCGACAAGGGGACCCGAUUCGGCCUCAGAAGCCAAGUGGUCCCGCUCCCCUGGAUGAUUCUCAGGACCUCCAGACCGUUGGCAACCAACUGCACCACUCAGUCCGAUUAGGGGACCCGUUUCGGACUCAGACCCGAAGUUGUCCCGCUACUCUGGAGCUCCAGGAAGACCUCCAGACCGUUGGCACCCAACCGCACCACUCAGUCCGAUUAGGGGACCCGUUUCGGACUCAGACGCGAAGUUGUCCCGCCACUCUGGAGCUCCAGGAAGACCUCCAGACCGUUGGCACCCAACCGCACCACUCAGUCCGAUUACGGGACCCAUUUCGGACUCAGACGCGACGUUGUCCCGCUACUCUGGAGCUCCAGGAAGACCUCCAGACCGUUGGCACCCAACCGCACCACUCAGUCCGAUUACGGGACCCAUUUCUGACUCAGACACGACGUUGUCCCGCUACUCUGGAGCUCCAGGAAGACCUCCAGACCGUUGGCAACCAACCGCCACACUCAGUCCGAUUACGGGACCCAUUUCGGACUCAGACGCGACGUUGUCCCGCUAAUCUGGAGCUCCAGGAAGACCUCCAGACCGUUGGCAAACAACCGCACCAUUCAGUCCGAUUAGGGGACCCAUUUCGGCCUCAGACGCUACGUUGUCCCGCUACUCUGUUUGUAAUGCUCAUACACCUUUCUUAUACUCAGUGCAUCACACGAAGCCCAUAAAAUUACAGUGAGCCACCUGCUUAAUUUCUUGUUUACUAGACCCCUGGUAGAUAUUAUGACACCUGGGAGUCUAAACACAACUCAUGGGAGUCUAAACACAACCCAUGGGAGUCUAGAACUUUUGUACUCUAAGCGUAAAAAUAACGCUUAGGGGGUGGGGCAUUGGAG